AUGUGACAUGGCACACUGGGUGGUGCUAACGAACUGGUAAUCACGGCUAUCUUCCCUCCAAUUGGGUGCGAGGCAACCGAGGCUCGAGAGUCGGGUGCGUCUGAAUCCUCCCAGGAGUUGUGACUGCAGCAAGAGCCUUUGCCAGGAAGAGAAUCAGGAAUGCCUGCCUCUACAGUGCAUGUUUUCUGACAGAUGCACAGCAUAAUGAAUAAGAAAUCAAAUAACUUCACAAGGAUUGGUGUUGAUAUGGAUCCACUGAGAGCUGUAGCGAGAAAUAUAUGUGCAUAGUUUGACAUUAGCUGGAGAUGUAUUAGGCUGCAUUCACGUGGACCAGUCUGAAAAUGGAGUGACAGAACAAAAAGCAUCCAGAGGGAGACGGGUGAGCUGCCAUCAGACCGGCCAGCAGGGCCGGCCCGCCAGGUGAGAGCCUCAUGGCUAGCUCCUGCUCUGCUAGAGCUGCUCACACUUACUUACCCUAAAUUUGUCCUGAGAAACCCUCACCGAAAGCUCCGGGCCAGGAAGGAGACAUUUUUGAACCAAUGACUUUCAAUUGCCCGACCUUCCAGCCUUCCUGUGUCCCCGAGGCCGAAAUCCUGC
rnacentral:lncRNA from 1 species